AAUCAACGCUGGCGGCGUGCCUAACACAUGCAAGUCGCACGAGAAAGAGGGGGGCAACCCCUUGAGUAAAGUGGCGUACGGGUGAGUAACACGUGACUAACCUACCUCCGAAUGGGGAAUAACCUCGGGAAACCGGGGCUAAUACCGCAUAACAUCUACGGAUCAAAGCAGCAAUGCGUUUGGAGAGGGGGUCGCGGCUGAUUAGCUAGUUGGUGGGGUAAUGGCCUACCAAGGCGACGANCAGUAUCCGGCCUGAGAGGGCGCACGGACACACUGGAACUGAAACACGGUCCAGACUCCUACGGGAGGCAGCAGUGGGGAAUUUUGCGCAAUGGGGGAAACCCUGACGCAGCAGCGCCGCGU
rnacentral:rRNA from 1 species